rnacentral:rRNA from 1 species
CUCCGUGCCAGCAGCCGCGGUAAUACGGAGGGGGUUAGCGUUGUUCGGAAUUACUGGGCGUAACUCGCGCGUAGGCGGAUUAGAAAGUUGGGGGUGAAAUCCCGGGGCUCAACCCCGGAACUGCCUCCAAAACUGCUAGUCUAGAGUUCGAGAGAGGUGAGUGGAAUUCCGAGUGUAGAGGUGAAAUUCGUAGAUAUUCGGAGGAACACCAGUGGCGAAGGCGGCUCACUGGCUCGAUACUGACGCUGAGGUGCGAAAGUGUGGGGAGCAAACAGGAUUAGAUACCCUGGUAGUCCACACCGUAAACGAUGAAUGCCAGUCGUCGGGUAGUAUACUAUUCGGUGACACACCUAACGGAUUAAGCAUUCCGCCUGGGGAGUACGGUCGCAAGAUUAAAACUCA